CCCUUAGAAGUUCUGGGCUGCACGCGCGCGACACUGAUGCGCUCAAGGAGUUUACGACCUUGCCUGGAAAGGUUGGGUAAUCUUCUUAAAAAACAUCGUGAUGGAGCUAGAUUAUUGCAACUAUUAAUCUUCAACGAGGAAUUCCUAGUAAGCGCGAGUCAUCAGCUCGUGCUGAUUACGUCCCUGCCCUUUGUACACACCGCCCGUCGCUCCUACCGAUUGCGUGCUACUGAAUAAUUCGGACUGCAGCAACGUUCGGUUCCUGAAUGUCGCAGUGGAAAGUUUAGUGAACCUUAUCACUUAGAGAAAAAAAAAGUCGUAACA
rnacentral:rRNA from 1 species